AGUGAACGCUGGCGGUAGGCCUAACACAUGCAAGUCGAACGGCAGCACAGUAAGAGCUUGCUCUUACGGGUGGCGAGUGGCGGACGGGUGAGGAAUACAUCGGAAUCUACUUUUUCGUGGGGGAUAACGUAGGGAAACUUACGCUAAUACCGCAUACGACCUACGGGUGAAAGCAGGGGAUCUUCGGACCUUGCGCGAUUGAAUGAGCCGAUGUCGGAUUAGCUAGUUGGCGGGGUAAAGGCCCACCAAGGCGACGAUCCGUAGCUGGUCUGAGGGGAUGAUCGGCCACGUGAGAACUGAGCCACGGUCCACUCCCCCGCGGGGCACACGUGGGGGGUAGUUUGGAAAGGGGGCCGAGGUGUCAGCCCCCCAUACCGCGAUGGAGAAGAAGCCCUUCGGUUUACAAACCCCUUUUGUGUGAAAAAAAAAGGAGCAGGUUAAUACCCCCGUUUUCUGGCGGUACCAUAAGAAAAAGCCCCGGCUCAAUUCG
rnacentral:rRNA from 1 species